rnacentral:rRNA from 1 species
UACGAAGGGGGCUAGCGUUGUUCGGAUUUACUGGGCGUAAAGCGCACGUAGGCGGAUUGUUAAGUUAGGGGUGAAAUCCCAGGGCUCAACCCUGGAACUGCCUUUAAUACUGGCAAUCUAGAGUCCGGAAGAGGUGAGUGGAACUCCUAGUGUAGAGGUGGAAUUCGUAGAUAUUAGGAAGAACACCAGUGGCGAAGGCGGCUCACUGGUCCGGUACUGACGCUGAGGUGCGAAAGCGUGGGGAGCAAACAGG